rnacentral:rRNA from 1 species
GACGGAGGGUGCUAGCGUUGUUCGGAAUGACUGGGCGUAAAGGGCGCGUAGGCGGCCGAUCAAGUCGGGUGUGAAAGCCCGGGGCUCAACCCCGGAACGGCACCCGAUACUGGUUGGCUUGAGACCGGGAGAGGAGGGUGGAAUAUCCAGUGUAGAGGUGAAAUUCGUAGAUAUUGGAUGGAACACCAGUGGCGAAAGCGGCUCUCUGGCCCGGAUCUGACGCUGAGGCGCGAAAGCGUGGGGAGCAAACAGG